UGUGUAAGACUGAAAUUACAAUAAAUUAUUUGUACUGAAAACCAUAUCAGUUAUUAUUUUCAAACCACGUAAUUUUCCUUUAGUUUACAUAACCUAAAAAAGCAAGACAACUUCAAAUCUGAAGAUCUACAAGAAAUUACAUUAACAAGAACAGAAUAUAUUUUGUCUUCGUUGGAUUGGGCACAACCAGGUAAAGAUAAACAGCACAGUCCUAAUGGCACGAGUUUUAAGUGAUUAAAAACAACAAAGAAGUAGACCGAUGUUCAUUCUGUGGCAUAGUUUCUCUCUGUGAGAACCCGGAUCUUCUUUCAGAGCCAUCGAUGAGAGGCUGAUAGCUUCUUCCUUUUAUUUUCAAGAAAACUUUUACUUGGACUGGGUUUUGCUCCGGGUAUUUCUAAGACAUCUAAGGUAUUGUGGAAGUGUUUUUGCUAAAUAAGGUUCAUAUUAUUCAAGAUUCAUUUCUUCUUUUCAUAUUUUUUUCCUACUUGGGAACCGAGGCAACGUUUUCAUCGAGAUUAGAAGAUUUUGGAAGCAACUAUAAUACAACAGAAUAACGAUUAUUGGUUGUUUCUUCAAAGAAAACUAUGUUAAAUUUAUGGAGGGUCUUCAAUCUCUGGUCUGUCGAUGAGAAAGCUGUUUUGUCAUUCAAAAAGGUUGUCGUGAAAUAAACAAAAGUUGUUGAUGAAAAUUUGCAAGAAAUAGAAAAGAAGAUUCAUUUCUUAUACACACAUUUGAAUUGGAUAAAGAUUUAAGCAUUUUUUUAGAAAGUCAUCAAGGAUUUUGAGAUGAAGAUAUAUUCCGAAGGAACUAUAUAGAGAAGACAAGAAUUUUUCAUAUCUAAUUAUUUUGUUGUUGUGAAACUAGAGCCGACAUAAAAUUUUUUGUAUACUUUUCAGUUAACAAUUACUCAAAUAACUUUGGGGUACAAAAACCGUAUUAAUACCAAGUUUAUACCACGGAAACAUAAUUCUAAAGCUUUUCCUUUGCGGAUUCAAGUGAAAGCUGCACUUUCCUAUCUGAAAAACGAAAUAUUUAAAUAAAAAUAUUGUCGAACGAAAAUUGUUCACUUGUUUACACAAUUUUCAAUUAACUUUUUUCUAAUAAACGCUGAAUAAUUACUGU